rnacentral:lncRNA from 1 species
UUGUGAUAGUUAUGAGUCGGGAUAAGCUUGGUGCUAUCUCUUUGUUUCUUUGUAGUUGAAGAGUAAUGGAUAGUUUUUGAAUAAUGUGAAGUGAAAUUCUAGAAUAGAAAAGAGAUUUAAUAUUAUAAAUAAAGUAUGGAAUUUAUUGUGGAUGAAUACAAUAGAGAAUUAUAAGUAGACAAUUAGAAGUGUGAGUGAAGAAUGGAUAUGAAUGGGAGAAUUAUAACAAUGAGGUUUGAGAAGGAGUCUUUGGAGUUUGGAUUAGUGUGAAGAAGUGUAGAGAGAAUGAUCGUCAAAUGUGGAGGAUUCUAAUAAUUGGAUUAUGGAGUGAUUGUAUGUUGUCUUUUAAGAUAGUAUAAUAUUAUAUAUUGUUGUUAUAAAUUAGGAAAAGAGAUGAGAUAGUAAAUGUGAAGAUAGAAUUAUUGAUUGUAAUAUUUGAUAGAAUGUCGAAGAAAAUGUAGCAUUCUUGGAUAUUUUUAAUUGAUUGUGAGAUAGUUAAUUAUGUGACCCUAACGUGCAAACUCAUGCGCAUAGUCUUUUGCUAUGUUUGAAUUUUCUUAUAUUGGUUUAAUUCAAUUAGAUUAGUAUGGAAUAAGUAAAAUAAAAAUUAUAUUUUGGUGCCGUUGUCAAAGAUUGAUAAUAGUAUUAAAUGUUAGGAAUUAACUGCCAAACAUGUCAUUACAAAUGUCAUACGAAGAGAUUAAAAAAUUAGUGUUGGUUCAAAAAUAAAGCUAAAUGUGUAAUUAAAGUG